UGAAGCAAUAUCGAUUUGAUCGAAUAAAAUUCUGGAUAAAGUAAUGAUAAUGACAUUGUUUAUCCAUGAGUCUUGACCAAGUUACGUGCCAGCAGUCGCGGUAAUACGUANAANACUAGUGUUAUUCAUCUUUAAUGGGUUUAAAGGGUACCUAGACGGCAUACUAAGCCUUAACUGGAACUGGUAUGCUAGAGUUACUUGUAAGGAAGUUUUAAAGUACUAGAGGAGUAGAGAUAAAAUUCAAUCAUACCUUUUUUCUUAGGAAAAACUUCGGCACAGGUAUAGGUGAAAACAUCUUCUUAUGGGAUAACUGACGUUGAGGGACGAAGGCUUUUUAUAAUGAACAGGAUUAGAUACCCUGGUAGUCGAAGCAGUAAACGCUGAGUGUCAUAGAUUAGAUUUAAAUUUAUUCUAUAAAUGAAAGUGUAAGCACUCCACCUCAAGAGUAAUUUGGCAACAUUGGAACUGAAAUCAUUAGACCGUAUCUGAAACCAGUAGUGAAGUAUGUUAUUUAAUUUGAUAAUCCGCAAAAAACCUUACCACAACUUGAAUACUUACAUAUUUACUUAUCUAACCUGUAUAUGUGCAGUUUCUUGCUUACGCAGCUACAUGUGCAGUUUCUUGCUUCC
rnacentral:rRNA from 1 species